rnacentral:rRNA from 1 species
AGAGAGAGACAUGCGCGCAUAUCAAUAAGCGGAGGAAAAGAAACUAACAAGGAUUCCCCUAGUAACGGUGAGUGAAGCGGGAAGAGCUCAAAUUUGAAAUCUUAAAGGGUUUCCCUUUACGAAUUGUAGUUUAAAGAAGUGUUUUCUGUUGAGGUUUUGGUAAAAGUUCUUUGGAAUAGGACAUCAUAGAGGGUGAGAAUCCCGUAUUUGACCUUUACUUUCAACUUUGUGAUACACUUUCAAAGAGUCGGAUUGUUUGGGAAUGCAGUCCAAAAUGGGUGGUAAAUUUCAUCUAAAGCUAAAUAUUGGCGAGAGACCGAUAGCGAACAAGUACCGUGAGGGAAAGAUGAAAAGAACUUUGAAAAGAGAGUUAAACAGUACGUGAAAUUGUCAAAAGGGAAGCGUUUGACACCAGUGUUGUUUUUCUGAAAAUCAAUUAAAGAACUGUUUAUGCUAAGUUGUUUAGACUUUAUCAGCUAACUGUUUAGUUUUGAGCUUUUCUUUAAUGCACUUUUCAGUUAACAAGUCAACAUCAAUUUCUUUUGCUGUAAAAAAGCUUGAGGAAGGUAGCUUGAGAUUCGUCUUAAGUGUUUAUAGCCUCUUGCCUAUGCAGUCGGAGAGAUUGAGGUCUGCAGCGUAGAUCCUUCGGGGCUAAAUGCAUUUGUGCUAAGUUAUAGCAUUUUAUAGACAACUUGUUGACUAUGAUUUGUCUUGUAGCUUACUCGCUUAUGUUAUUUUACCUACGCUUAGGAUGUUGAGCGCAUGUCUCUCUCU